rnacentral:ncRNA from 1 species
AAAAAGUUUGAUUUUUGCUUAUUUUUUUAUUUAUUUGAAUUUAAUGCAUUUAAAUUUUUUUAAGUUUAUUAUUUCUAAAUGAUUAAUUUAUUAUUUUUAGUGUUUUAUUUUUAGUUUUUAUAGUUUAAUUUAAGAAAUUUAAUUUAAAAUGGAAUAAUGUUGUGCCAGCAUUCGCGGUUAUUCAACACAUUUGAAAUAAUAUUUUUGGUAUUCAGAUUUUUUUUAAUAUUUUUGUAUUUAGGUGAAAUUUAUAUUUAAAAUUCUUUUUCUUUCUGUCUAGUCUUGAUAAAAAACCAGGAUUAGAUACCCUGUUAUUCUUGGAUAAUUUAAUUAGCUUGGGGAGUAAAUUUAUUUUAAAUUCAAUGGAUCUGGCGGUUUUUAAAUCUUAUUAGAGGAACCUGUAAUUUAAAUGAUAAUCCACGAUUAAUAUUACCUUUUUUUUCUUGUAUAUCUCUGUCGUUGAAUGUAAUUAAAAUUAAUUUUCUUUUUUUAUUUUAAAUUUAUGUUAGGUCAAGGUGCAGUUAUAAUUGGGUUAUUAUGGGUUACAUUAAUUUUUUUUUUUUGAUUAAUUAUUUUAGUAAAUUUUUUGAAUUUGGAUUUAAAAGUAAUUUUUUUUAUUUAGAAUUUUGAAUUAAGCUCUUAAUAAUGUACAUAUCGCCCGUCAUUCUCAUAAAUUGAGACAAGUCGUAACAAAGUAGAUGUAUCUGAAGAUGUAUCUAGAAUCAG